rnacentral:rRNA from 1 species
CGGUAAAACCAGCACCUCAAGUGGUCAGGAUGAUUAUUGGGCCUAAAGCAUCCGUAGCCGGCUUUGUUAGUUUUCGGUUAAAUCCAUGUGCUCAACGCAUGGGCUGCCGAAAAUACUGCAUGGCUAGGGAGUGGGAGAGGUAGACGGUACUCAGUAGGAAGGGGUAAAAUCCUUUGAUCUAUUGAUGACCACCUGUGGCGAAGGCGGUCUACCAGAACACGUUCGACGGUGAGGGAUGAAAGCUGGGGGAGCAAACCGGAUUAGAUACCCGGGUAGUCCCAGCUGUAAACGAUGCAGACUCGAUGAUGCAUUGGCAUAAUAGCCAGUGCAGUGUCGCAGGGAAGCCGUUAAGUCUGCCGCCUGGGAAGUACGUACGCAAGUAUGAAACUUAAAGGAAUUGGCGGGGGAGCACCACAAGGGGUGAAGCCUGCGGUUCAAUUGGAGUCAACGCCAGAAAUCUUACCCGGAGAGACAGCAGAAUGAAGGUCAAGCUGAAGACUUUACCAGACAAGCUGAGAGGUGGUGCAUGGCCGUCGCCAGCUCGUGCCGUGAGAUGUCCUGUUAAGUCAGGUAACGAGCGAGAUCCCUGCCACUAGUUGCUAUCAUUAUUCUCAGGAAUAGUGGGGCGAAUUAGUGGGACUGCCGUUGUUAAAACGGAGGAAGGAAGGGGCUACGGCAGGUCAGUAUGCCCCGAAACUCUGGGGCCACACGCGGGCUGCAAUGGUAGUGACAAUGAGUUCCAAACUCGAAAGAGAGUGGCAAUCUCUAAACGCUACCACAGUUAUGACUGAGGGCUGUAACUCGCCCUCACGAAUAUGGAAUCCCUAGUAACCGCGUGUCAUUACCGCGCGGUGAAUACGUCCCUGCUCC